rnacentral:rRNA from 1 species
UACGUAGGGUGCAAGCGUUGUCCGGAUUUAUUGGGCGUAAAGAGCGUGUAGGCGGCCUGACAGGUCAGCUGUGAAAACUCGAGGCUCAACCUCGAGACGUCGGUUGAAACCAUCUGGCUAGAGUCCGGAAGAGGAGAGUGGAAUUCCCGGUGUAGCGGUGAAAUGCGCAGAUAUCGGGAAGAACACCCGUGGCGAAGGCGGCUCUCUGGGACGGUACUGACGCUGAGACGCGAAAGCGUGGGGAGCGAACAGG